rnacentral:rRNA from 1 species
GACGAACGCUGGCGGCGUGCUUAACACAUGCAAGUCGAACGGAAAGGCCCUGCUUGCAGGGUACUCGAGUGGCGAACGGGUGAGUAACACGUGGGUGAUCUGCCCUGCACUUCGGGAUAAGCCUGGGAAACUGGGUCUAAUACCGGAUAGGAGCCAUUUUUAGUGUGAUGGUUGGAAAGUUUUGUCGGUGUAGGAUGAGCUCGCGGCCUAUCAGCUUGUUGGUGGGGUAAUGGCCUACCAAGGCGGCGACGGGUAGCCGGCCUGAGAGGGUGGACGGCCACAUUGGGACUGAGAUACGGCCCAGGCUCCUACGGGAGGCAGCAGUGGGGAAUAUUGCACAAUGGGCGCAAGCCUGAUGCAGCGACGCCGCGUGGGGGAUGACGGCCUUCGGGUUGUAAACUCCUUUCGCUAGGGACGAAGCUUUUUGUGACGGUACCUAGAUAAGAAGCACCGGCUAACUACGUG